rnacentral:rRNA from 1 species
UACGGGGGGGGCAAGCGUUGUUCGGAAUUACUGGGCGUAAAGGGCUCGUAGGCGGCCAACUAAGUCGGAUGUGAAAUCCCCAAGCUUAACUUGGGAACUGCAUCCGAUACUGGAUGGCUUGAAUCCGGGAGAGGGAUGCAGAAUUCCAGGUGUAGCGGUGAAAUGCGUAGAUAUCGGGAGGAACACCUGUGGCGAAGGCGGCCCCCUGGUUGGAUACUGACGCUGAGACGCGAAAGCGUGGGGAGCAAACAGG